AUCAUGGGAUUUGGUUAUCUGUUGGUUUGUGGGAGCCAUGCUGUGUAGUAAGGACACAAGCUCUGAUCCUGGAUAACCUUCCUUCCAACCCAGUUCAGCCACUUGCAGUCAUGUCCUCUUGAGAAAUUUACUUGGCCUGGCCCUCUUUGCCUUACUGUACUCUCCUGUGAAAUAGGUUUAUUAUUCCUCGUAAUAACAAUACCAAACAAGAUUGCAUUUCUGAGUAUGUAACGAAGUAAUGCAAGGAUGGUUCAGAGAAUUGGGCAUGGCACAUUCCCUAUCUACCACCACUGAUACUGCCAUGGGGUAGGUUGCAGGUCACGCUUCACGUCAUAUGAGCUGCAGCCAAGAACCUAAAGACAGCAUCAGAUGUCUCAGUUCUGCCAUAGAGACUCUCCUUCUGUGCCACACUCUUCUCAUUCUUUGCAUCGCGCAUAGAUGACCCUUCACCAGGAGGCUGGCUUUUCCAUCGUGGGUCUCCCCACGAUGAUGUACACAAGUAUACAUAAUCUUCCAUCCUGUGCAUCAAUUCAGUUCACUCCAGUUCUAGCCUCAGAUAGCUAGGGGCCACUUCUGGCGCAGGGGUGGGGGUGGGGGUGCAGGGCCAGGUACCAGAGCAUGUGACACUUCAUUGCUGCCAUAUGGCAUUGGAGCGGUCUGUGUCCCUGUGUCUGCAUUCAUCUCCAAACUCCCCUCCUUCCACCCCAGAAUUCAGUUUACACUCACACUGGAUUCCAGGUCACACCCUGCUCUUUCAGCCUCUCUCCUUCAGCCUCAAAGUCCUCCUGGUAGAAGGACGGUAACUCUGCCUACUCGACGUUUGUUGGGAGACCUGCAGGAGACGAUAGAUGGGAAACACCUAGCUGAUAUUACCUGGCACAUGGAAGGCACGGAGUAAGAGGCAGCGCUGUCUGUCCUGCUUCUUUAAUCCACAGCACCCGGCCUGCAGAUGGUUCAGCCCACGGGGUUCUGGGGCCCAGCAGACAUUUCUUCGGUAGACCUGUUGAUGGGAAGAGCCACCGGAAUAGAAGGAGGUACAGAUGAAAACAAGCCGUGCUUCUGUGACCCACGGAGAUAUGGCUUCAGAGAUUCAUCAUCUUCCAGCUUCCUCUAACGAAAGCCUGUGGGAUACUGUUCCUGCUGCAUGACUGUGCGGUGGCCAGUACCUAAUGGUCUCCCCUCCAUGGACAGAACAACCCUGGGGCCAGUGACAGCAACUGGAGCUGUGACAUGUGUCCUAUACUGGAGCAUCUGAUUGCUGCUCACUCCAAAGAAAAGCCAGUGUCCCUACUUGAGGCCGUGCCAGGUCUAGGGGACAAAGGGAGGAUCUCCCUUGAAGAUUAGAUAUUCUGAGGACCCAGCACCCAGGAAAGGAUCUGGGGGAUAUUUGCUGGGUCUGCCAGCAACUACUGAGAUUCUCACCUAGGCCUCUUGGCUCCCUGGAGGAAACUGACAUGAUUGACCUUCAAAAGACAUAAGAAGGGAAAAACCUCUCCUUCUAAGAAAAACCGCUGGCUCUUAGGCACACACCUCCAGGCUUCCUACUCUGGCUCUGGAAACAUUUUCUGAAGCCCAGCUCCAGAACUCAGGCCCUGAAGUGAGUGAGUGUGUUGUGAAAGGAGAAAUUACCGGUGGAGGGCCAGGAUGGCCAUGAGGAGACCCAGCUCACCUCAUUUGAGUCAAUUACUCCCUUAUGUGUGUCCAUGUGGGCCUCUCUUCUUUCUGCCAUCUGCUCUGGGGGUCCGUCUGUGAAUGGUAAAAGCUUCCUGAGUUAAAGCAGAGAAUAAGACAAGCACCCCUAAUCUCCUUUUCCAUGGAUGGCUUGAAUGGGCCGUGGGCAGAGGAAAACCCAGUGGGGAUGCUGAGCUCAGAUCACAGACUCACUCCUGCUCCUCAGACCACAAGGGCACUUUGGUUCAUUUAGUCCUCUGACCGAUCUGACCUACACCAUGAGCCCUGCCCCCCCCUCCCCGCCCCCUGGACUGGAAGGCAAGGGGGGAAAGAAGCCAUUCAUUUACAUCUAAUAUGACAAGUAAGUGUGCUGGGAUGGGUCCACAUAUACAAAUGCUCAGCCUCACAUUUCCACCACCCUCCCCUCUGCCCCCUACUCCUUUCCAAGUGAGGAAGGGAUAUGUGUGGCUUACAGGUCCACAUGAUGAUGUGGAAAGGGGGUCUAUGACACACCUACAUGGCUCACAGAGCCCCUGGAUGGUCUCUGACGGAGGGAUGACUCUUGUCCCCCAGAUCCACUGGUGAUGCCAUGCAUGGGAGCUGGUGUAACUGGCACUUUUGUGUCUCUCCUCCUGCUCAGGACCUGGUGCUCCCUGGCUGACUCAGCCUUACCUCUCAGCUGGGAUCUGCACAUACGUCUGUGGCUGGGUCUCAUCUUGCAUCCCACCUCUGGGCAAGACUGUCUGCUGCUCAGGCUCAGCUGCAGAGUCAUCAAAGCCUUUACCAGGUUAAAGCCUCCUUCAUGAACCUCCUGCUAUGAGCCCAGCCACAUUCCGUAUCCCCCACUGGGAGCGUAGCCUCCAUGCCCCCAGUCUCAUCUACAACACACCAGGAGCUAAGGUCAGCUCCAGAAAGCUAUAUAUAAAGACCCCGAGGGAUCCCUGGGUGGCGCAGCGGUUUGGCGCCUGCCUUUGGCCCAGGGCGCGAUCUUGGAGACCCGGGAUCGAAUCCCACGUCAGGCUCUCGGUGCAUGGAGCCUGCUUCUCCC